rnacentral:rRNA from 1 species
UACGUAGGGUCCAAGCGUUGUCCGGAAUUAUUGGGCGUAAAGAGCUCGUAGGCGGUGUGUCGCGUCGGAUGUGAAAGCCCGGGGCUUAACUUCGGGUCUGCAUUCGGUACGGGCAUGCUGGAGUUCGGUAGGGGAGACUGGAAUUCCUGGUGUAGCGGUGAAAUGCGCAGAUAUCAGGAGGAACACCAAUGGCGAAGGCAGCACUCUGGGACGUGACUGACGCUGAGACGCGAAAGCGUGGGGAGCAAACAGG